CCUACGGGAGGCAGCAGUGGGGAAUAUUGCGCAAUGGGCGAAAGCCUGACGCAGCGACGCCGCGUGAGGGAUGAAGGUCUUCGGAUCGUAAACCUCUGUCAGCAGGGAAGAACGGUCACUGUGCUAAUCAGCAGUGAAUUGACGGUACCUGCAAAGGAAGCACCGGCUAACUCCGUGCCAGCAGCCGCGGUAAUACGGAGGGUGCGAGCGUUAAUCGGAAUUACUGGGCGUAAAGCGCUCGUAGGCGGUAUGUCAAGUCAAGGGUGAAAUCCCCGCGCUCAACGUGGGAACUGCCUUUGAAACUGGCAAACUGGAGUGUGUGAGAGGAUAGUGGAAUGCCAGGUGUAGGAGUGAAAGCCGUAGAGAUCUGGAGGAACAUCAGUGGCGAAGGCGACUAUCUGGCACAUAACUGACGCUGAGGAGCGAAAGCGUGGGUAGCAAACAGGAUUAGAUACCCUUGUAGUC
rnacentral:rRNA from 1 species